UAGUCUGAAACAAUGCAUUUCAGCAAAUUGAAUUUUUAGUAAGCAGGUUACUGGGAAGAUAAGCAGCUUAAGUCAGCUAGAAAAGAAUAUUCACAAAUAGAACAUUAUUGCAUCAACUUCCUCUUCUAAACUGCUUUGUAAUUGCCAGAAGCACACAGUAAGCACAUUUCCUGUGCUUUGGGCUAUAAAACAGUAAUUCAAAUUUUAGGGCAUCUAGUACCAAUUCAAAAUCAUCAUGGUCUAGUGAUUCAAAGCAUUGAGCCAGUAUACACUCAAGCUGCCAAUGCAAACUUGCUCUAAAGGGGUGUUUGUUAAUUUGUUUGAUAGAUAAAUUCUAACUGUCUGACUGUGGUUCUAUUAUUCUGUGUCUGACUGGACCCUUCUUAGGUAGUCCAGACUUUCAUUUUUGGUAGCUCCUUCUUUUUGUCUUCUCCACUUUCUGUGCUUAGAUAUAUAGUGCACUGCUGUCCUCAUGUGUGCCUACCCCCAGUCCUCUUUCAGUUGGAUGUUUGCAAGAUAUUCUGUUCAACUCUUUUUGUUGAUCUUUGCCUCAGAUCUUCAGUUAUCUAAAUAUUCCAAAACUUGUGGUUUCCUCUUCUUUUUCCCUUUGACCUCAGCAUAAGCUAUAUGGGUGCACUGGACACAUCUUAAUGACAUGCUCUACCUCAGCAGCUAUAAGUGGAGGCUGUAACCAGCUGCCUGUCUUGGCUCUUUCCUGAGACUUUCCUCUUCUUGUGUUACCACAAGAACCACACGGCACAGUUUUGAGAAAGGAAAAGCAAUGCACAUCCUGACCCAGUUGUAAUUGAUUCCAGUCAAAACUGGUGGUAAAAUUAAGCUAUGCAGGAGAGCUUGCCAGGUUGGACAGAGCCUUGGGUAAUAUGGCCUAGUGUGAGGCAUCCCUGCCCAUGGCAGGGGGUUUGAACGAGAUGAUCUUACAAUGAGGUGGUCCUUACAACCCUAACUAUUCUGUGGUUCUAUGAUUCUAUCCCUUGCCCCCCAUGGAGUUACUAAUCAUAUAUCAAGCCAGAGUUAAUGCAUCAGAGGUGACUGAAUUUUAGAUUAAGAGAGGCAGAUAUGAUCUGUUUAGAUAUUUUCCAGAAUAGUGGGCUUCUCUGUUGGCUAUAUCUGUCAUCACUUUUCCCCACAGAUUCAACAUGUCCACGCAUGCCUUGUAUAGUAACACCUUCACCCUCCUAUCAUCCCAGUAAUGAGUAGGCAUGGCUUUCUGCUAUUAGAAAGCAGUCUUGAUACACACUUUGGAUCCAUCAUAGAUUUCAGUCUGGAAGGCUGGAGAAAUAUACUAGUAAUGCAGACCUUCAAUGAGCAAGAGGAGCCUUGCUGGGUAAAAAUGAAUCAUCACUCACAUUUUCUUGCCCAAAGAGUCUUGGGUGAACUGCUAGGGAAAAAAACUGCAUGUGUUAUCCAAAAAGAUAUUCCCCUUUGGAAAAAGAGAGCUCUAUUUCAGGAGAGAUUGAACAGAGGGACAGGAAGAAAGGGGAUAUGUGGUUAACUCACACAAAAGCUACCCAAGUGAGAAAAGCCUAGCAUGCUUCAUUGUUUUCAUCACCCUGAGCUCAAGGGAGGCAGGAAUUUUCUGAAUGGCAUGGCACAGCAUGUCCAAAACCCUUGUGGCUGUUUGCAUUUUCAGUGCUAAUUAACACCACCACAACAAAGUUUGUGAUUCCCAGCCUCCAAACGAUUGCAGCAACCUUUCUCUCAGCUCAGUAGAACUUGGCUGACGGCUGUUUCUGUGCCAUGCAUGUUCAGCACAGAUCUUCAAAGCCAUUGCCUUCUCUAUUGUGUUUCUUGCCACUGUCUUUGCCUGCUGAGCAUUUGUAGCUCUUUCCACCGCCACCAAUCAUUUAAAAAUCUCGGCUGUUACUAGCAUGGAUGUUAAUUUUAUUCAUAAUGAGAAUUUAUCCUGAGCAGGGCCAGCUCAGCCUCCUUUGCUUUAUCUCUGCAUGCACCUUCUCUUGUCUUGUGUGGUCACUGCCCAAGGAAGCUUUUUCCUAGACAAGGAAUUUCAAUACAAAUAUAUGUAACUUCUAUAACCAGCUCCUGCCUCAACAACCUUGUUUAUGCUGCACAGUGGAAGUGUGUCACAUUUUAAGACUGAAUUAACAGUGAGGAGACUAGAUGGAUUUGGAUACUAAAGCUCCUGGAGUCACAGAUAUUUAUUGUUGAAAGUGACAUGACUUCCCUGUUGUUCAGGAGAGAGUGCAGCAUGAUGUCCAGCGUGACAGUCUCUAACAAAACCCUCUUCUUCUGCAAUAACGGAGGUGGUGUGGUCCAGAAGAAAGUUGGAUGAAUCAGUACAGCAGUCCCAGUCAUGCAGUGGGCAGUCCAGGCACAGGGCCCUGGGGUCCCCACAGCUAACCCUGGACUUCUGCUGCACCUUCUCCCCAACAGCACUCUGUCAUCAGCACUCACAGCUGGAAAGUUCUCCAUGCUUCGGCAGUGGCACAGCAAUUAACAGACCAGUCUUGCACGUCUGAUCCUAGUAGCCGCUACUGACAAGCAUGUCAAGAAUACGUCAGGCAGGUGGGUAAGCCCUGGACACAGUUCAGAUGACAGUAUGAGGCAUUGACAGUGUACACCCACAGAAAGCCACUAACGUGUGCUUGCUAGUUCAGCAAAGUGUUUGAGAUACAGUUGUAUAAAUACACAUGACCUGGCUAAAUGUGUAUCUUUAAAUGAUCCAGCAAUGGGUAGACUUCUUAAAUGCCUUGGAACCAUGGCCUGAAAUUCAUUCACAAUCAAGUAUGUUAAUAACUGUCAUAUUGUACUACCACAAGCCCACUCAAUAAUCUGAACAGCUCUUUCACAAUUACAGUACUGAAUUAUGAUGAUAUUAUUUUAAAAAGCAGUAUAAUAUGGACUUUUUUAAAAAAAAAAAUAAACAUUUUAUGUUUAAAUAUACAAUGUUUGUUUAUACAUUAUGCUAUAUACAUAUGUUUAUACUUUAUAAAGUGUGGAAUGUACACUGUAGUGUAAGGAAUUUAAACGAAGAAUAAAAAUGCUUGGAAGAAUGUC